rnacentral:rRNA from 1 species
GACGAACGCUGGCGGCGUGCCUAAUACAUGCAAGUCGAACGCACUCUCGUUUAGAUUGAAGGAGUUUGCUCCUGAUUGAUAAACAUUUGAGUGAGUGGCGGACGGGUGAGUAACACGUGGGUAACCUGCCCUAAAGUGGGGGAUAACAUUUGGAAACAGAUGCUAAUACCGCAUAAAACCUAACACCGCAUGGUGUAGGGUUGAAAGAUGGUUUCGGCUAUCACUUUAGGAUGGACCCGCGGUGCAUUAGUUAGUUGGUGAGGUAAAGGCUCACCAAGACCGUGAUGCAUAGCCGGCCUGAGAGGGUAAUCGGCCACACUGGGACUGAGACACGGCCCAGACUCCUACGGGAGGCAGCAGUAGGGAAUCUUCCACAAUGGACGAAAGUCUGAUGGAGCAACGCCGCGUGAGUGAAGAAGGUUUUCGGAUCGUAAAACUCUGCUGUUGGAGAAGAAUGUAUCUGAUAGUAACUGAUCAGGUAGUGACGGUAUCCAACCAGAAAGCCACGGCUAACUACGUG